rnacentral:rRNA from 1 species
GACGAACGCUGGCGGCGUGCCUAAUACAUGCAAGUCGAACGCAUUUUCUUUCACCGUUGCUUGCUACACCGAAAGAAACUGAGUUGCGAACGGGUGAGUAACACGUGGGUAACCUGCCCAUCAGCGGGGGAUAACACUUGGAAACAGGUUCUAAUACCGCAUAAUUCCAUUUACCGCAUUGUAGAUGGAUGAAAGGCGCUUUUUCGUCACUUAUGGAUGGACCCGCGGUGCAUUAGUUAGUUGGUGGGGUAACGGCCUACCAAUGCUGCGAUGCAUAGCCGACCUGAGUGGGUGAUAGGACACACUGGGACUGAGACACGGGCCAGACCACUACGGGAGGCAGCAGUGGGGAAUCAUCGGCAAUGUAAGCGAGUCUGACCGUGUGACGCCGCGUGAGGGAAGAAGGUUUUCGGAUCGUAAAACUCUGGUGUUAGAAAAGAACAAGGAUGAGAGUGGAAAGUUCAUCCCUUGACGGUAUCUAACCAGAAAGCCACGGCUAACUACGUG